UACGUAGGGACCGAGCGUUGUCCGGAUUCAUUGGGCGUAAAGAGCUCGUAGGCGGCCACUCAAGUCGAAUGUGAAACCUCGAGGCUUAACCUCGAGCCUGCAUUCGAUACUGGGCGGCUAGAGUCUGGUAGGGGGAUCUGGAAUUCCUGGUGUAGCGGUGGAAUGCGCAGAUAUCAGGAGGAAUACCGGUGGCGAAAGCGACUCUCUGGACGGCAACUGACGCUGAGGCACGAAAGCGUGGGGAGCAAACAGG
rnacentral:rRNA from 1 species